ensembl:lncRNA
GAAACUUUCAGGAGAAAUAUUCCAGAAAUUCACAUUUGAUGUAGUCAGAAAUGUCUUCCAUAGGACCGAGGGAGGACAGAGGAAGCCUCCCCAACCCUGAUUCAUCUCCUCAGUGACCUUCCCAGCCUGUGAGCCUCUUAAUCUGGAUGCAUUUAUCUUCUUUCCAUCGAAGGAGCCUGAUCUCAGUCUCCUCAGAGCUCCUCCAGCAGGCUCUGGGUCUGCCCUAAGGAAAGGGCAUUUCUCCAGCUCUGUCUCUUCCUUUGCCAGUUGUGAUUCCAUUCUCCACAUCCUGCUCUGCUUGUCUUGUUCUCCAGGUAGGGUGAGCUCACAGUUGAUGAGGGUAUUAAAUCUACCUCCUGCCCCACCUCAAGCAGGCUGUAAGGAAGGGCCUCGCAGCUGACCAUCCCGCUUCCCAGGAUACGGGAAUGGUAGCCCACAAUCGCAGAUUUUCAGUGUUAAUCUGUUGAUUUACUGAUCCUACUCAAGCCCACAUUCUUGUUUGUCAUGUUCUGUCAUCUAAACUAAGAGAAUGAAAGAGACCUGCACUGAAAAUGGGGACAUUCAGCAUCUAGUUUGACUUGCCACAUAUCUGCUCUGGGACUUAGGACAAGAAACUUGACAGAGCACACAUUCUUCUCAUCUGAAACAUUGAAUUUCAGUAAAUUACCUGUAAUUUAUCAGAGAAAAGCAUUUUAUAAGUUCUAUUCAUAAGACACUUGCACAUCUACUCAUUAACUCAUCUAUCUUCGCCAUCAUUAACUCUUCCAAUUCCCACCAAACCCUUGGAGAAUAGCCCAGGUCCACCUUCAGUGACCUGCAUGCAGUCUGCAAAGGCCCCUGGGCAGGCACACUGGACUCUCCCUGUCAUUUGAGCCAUUUCACGCCUCUGCCUUUCCUAGUACACCUGUCCUCAGAGGAUGGGUCCCAGCAGCCAGAGGAGGUUCCAUUUCUGAUGCUUUUAUUGUGGAUUCAGCUUGGGCGGGGCUGGGAGAACACCCACCUACACUUCCUUGUUUCAGAUGUAGCUCUCUAGAUCUGGAAAGGCUUGUCAGACUCCUUCUUAGUACAGAAAACCCUCCUUUGGCACUACCUGGUGAGGAGAGACACUCCCUUCUCUUCUCCGCAGGAAGGACAGCUCAGAAUGAGACAGAAGGCUCAGGAAUGGCUCCCAGGCUGAAUCCACAAUACAUUCAGGCCCAAGGACAAUCUGCUGGGAGGUCAGUCUUCCUUUCUACACAGGCUUUCAAAUGAUUGGAUGAGGAACACCCACAUUAAGGAGGAAAAUCUGCUUUACUCAAACUCUACUGAUUUAAAUGUUUACCCCGUUAAAAAUAUCUACACAAAAGCAUCUAGAAUAACUGAACAAAUCUCUGGCUACUGUGACAUAAAUAUCACACACACACACAUCCGCAUACACACACACAUACACCCCUAGUGGACAGAAAAACUAAAGUUCAAAAUGUUUGUGAGUGAUUCAAAUGUCCUUUCCCAAGGACACUGUCCAAGCACUAGUAUUUGGGGCUAUUAGGUCCAGAAAGAGCCCUGGUCUUUCCCUCAUGAUCCGAU